ensembl:lncRNA
CUUGGCUUGGCUGGGGGAUAACGCAGCCUGUGUUGAUGGAGCUCCAAGUCUGCUGGUAUUUGCAUGCAUGUAUUUGCAUAUAAGCAGUCAGAGACAUAUGUGCAUGUUAUAUGCCAUAUGUGUAUGCACAAGAACGGGCUCUGUUGUUGUGAUGUAUGGCUGCAAGUAUUCCAUAGCAAUAUCCACAUGUGAACAGGAGUGCCAUACUUGUGUGUAUAAAAAGCAAGCACGGGGCUUUGUUAUCCACCAGAAGCCAUGAGGGCUUUUGAUUCGAUAGAGCAAAACAGAAGGAGAGACUUGGCACCUCUGUGUGAUGAAAUCCAAAUACUGGCUGUGGUUACGGAACUGAGCAAAACAUAGAGCAGAUGAAGAGAUACAGAGCUGUAGCUCGCGGGGCCUCAUUGUUCGGGAACACCGCGUAACAAAAAGAAAGGCCAUGUACUGAGGAGCUGCUGUGUCUGCAAGGGAUCUCUUCAAAACAGAAACCAAACAAAACUGAACAAACCCAACGAUUUACUCUGCAGCCAACAAUGGCCGCUGCCAAAGUCUUGUACCUGGCAGCAUUCAACAGGUAUCGGAAACACUUGUGCAAUUACAUUCUGUGCUUUACUGAGAGGAGAAGAGAAGCUCAGUGAAUUUCUCCUUGCAUAGGAGUUUGUGGCAGAACGAGAGGCUGAGCCCUGUUUCCUGCACCCAGACACAGUGCUGCAAUCACAUGACCACUCCUCUGUAGGCACUUUCCUUGAAUGAUGUCUACCGUGGAAAUUAGUCUGAAGAUUUGAACGUAGCUUCCCAGUUCUGACACUGACACGUAGAUGUCAAUAUGCAUCAAUAUAGAGACUGGCAAUCCUUCUAGCUCAACAACUGCCUUGGAGAUUUAAUCAGUCUUGGAAGUACUACUUCACUGUCCUUCUACUGAUGAGAAGGUUGAGAGAAGCCAUUAUACAGGUGUGACAGUAAAGAAUGAAGCCUCUUUCCUCAAGCAAUAAAAUGUGAGCAGUUGUGGUAAUUUACAGACAUUUUAAUCCCUUGGUCUUAAUAUGGUUUUGGACUGAAAAGGUAUAGGAUCUGUUUCCUAGAGGUGGUAAGCUAGAUGGAAAUUUAUCCACAGCAGACAAUAAUAAUAAUUUAGAUAAUAAUUUAGAUAUUGAUACGAACAUUUAUUUCAUAGACUCAUAGAAUCACCAAGGUUGUAAAAGACCUCCAGGGUCAUCCAGUGCAACUGUCCACUUAUCACCAAUUUUUCCCACUAAACCAUGUCCCUCAGUACAACAUCUAAAUGUUUUUUGAACACCUCCAGGGAUGGUGACUCCACCACCUCCCUGGGCAGCCCGUUCCAGCAUCUGACAACUCUCUUAGAGAAGAAGUAUGGUCAUAUUUGCUUUAUGCAUCACAAGCUUUUAAUCUUCAAAACUUCUGAAAUUCAGCAAGAUGUCAAAAGAGCAACAGCAGUUUAAAUUCUACUGUAGGAGCAUUAGAGCUCUGGAGACAACCAGGGUAAGCUCUAACUCCUAUAAAAGCCAUGGCAGAAUGUUAAUCAUUCUUAAAACCGGAGCUGAGCACUUUGGAUCAGUGGUAUUAAUCUCUGAAAGGUGAAUGUUGGCAGGUGUUUUCUCAGGUUCUGUUCUUCAUCCUCACUGCAGCAGUCUCUCCAUUAAAACACCCUAUUAGAGUUGUAAGCUGUAAAUAUGUCAGGAACACAUCAUAGCACCAUACUACAUGUAACAUUUCAGAUUUGAGCAUAUCUUAGCAUAUCAUGUGGAGAUCUCAUGGGGCAACACCAGUAGGUAUAUUGCAUUUUCCUCAUCCCUCUUGUUUCAAUAGAUUUUUCCAACAACCUGAAACAGUAGGUCACUUACAUGAAAUGCAUGUCCCAGAUCUUUUGAAUUUCUCUGAACUCCACAUCUUUGACUGGCUGCAGCUUUGGGGUUUUUACUGGGGUGCAUUUCUGUGGAGUGAAACACCUGUUGAUUCAAAUGGAUGAACCAAGAGCAAGCUGAACUGACAGCUAGGAUGGAAUUUACCAGCUUUACUAGCAAGAGCAAAGACCCUUCUAACUACUGUACAGCUGCGAACUUGAAGACUCAGAGCUCCAAUGCGAUAUUUUUGUAUUUAUCUAAAGUAAUGUCUGUGUGAGCAUUUGCAAGCAGAAGUGAGUUUUCUCCAUCGUUAUCCUGAGCUGACUGGAAGCCAUAUAGCAAACUAGUGUGGCAUUAGGCCUAAACUAACAUAGCCUGCUUCCCAGCUGAACUUUAUUAGCUUGGGCUUGGUGCCCUGCUAACCACAGCUGUGGGUUUCUUGUCAGCUUGGAGUAGAGGCAGAACAAGCUCGUGCCUCUUUAUAGGUAGUCCUAUAGGGUUUUAAUGUUUGUGAAUAGUGCUACCAUUAGAAAGUUGAAUGUUUCUUCUUUCUCUCUUCAGAACAAAUUACGGAGUAAGUUGCCUAUCCUUUCAUUUACAUCCUUUGUAUCAGCAAAUGUAUUUUUCAGUCUUUGUCUGCUUUUCUUGUCAGUCCUUAUUUGUCAUUAACUAGUCCUUUUUCUUUCACCCGUGCUCUUUUUACAUUUAAAUAGUCUUAAUUUUUUUUUCAGCUUCUAUAACCAAAAAAGGCAACUCUAGAUUAACAAAGAGAGCUGAGGAAAGACUUGAGAAUUCACGUGGAAGAAAAAUGAUGUUUCUUUGAAAUUGCUUCAAAUGUUUAAUCUACAUCUCUGACCUAGAAGUUGGCUUGUUUGUAAAUAGAGCCCAUCCCAACAUUUUCUAAUUUUUCAUUUAAAAGCACACUGCUGGAAACUGCCUAUUUGUUAAAAUCAAACCUGGCUUUAUUAAAAAAAAAAAAAAAAAGCAUUGAUUUUGUUGAACAUGGUGUGGUGGAGAGCAGAGAGGCAAAAUCUGGCUUGUGGCAUUGGGGAUAAUGGUCCUUCUGUGGGUUCUGGUUCUAUUCAAAUUAAGCUGAGUGGAAAAACUCUGCUUCUGAAGAUCACAGGUUUCUGAAGUAAGAACUUUAGUAUCCUUAUUGUGGUAUUUGGUUUUGUGUGAGUCAUUACAAGGUUUAUGGUUCAAAGUUCAUAGCACUUAAUAGUAAGGAGUAUGCUGCUUGCUGAACUGUUGGCUAAAGUGGCUUCUCUUUUCUUUUUCAUUUUCCACUUUUUCUGUUCAAGCCAAACACCUGCUACUAUUAAAAUAGAUGCUUACCUCCUACUGAUAAACUUGUGCUCCUAAUCAGGUCUUUUGCCCAGUAAAACUUGCAAUGCCUGCUUGGUAGUUCUUUCUUCUUGUUCAGAGUAGCUCAGACAUUUUCUCUAAGCUUCCUCGCUUUGAACAAGGUGGAGGCAUCAGAGGAGUAACCUGUUGUACUCCUUUUUUAAGAGUUUAGCUAAAGAUAUAUACAGAAACAUUUUCGCUAACUUCUGUUCUAAAAUGACUUUUUUUUUUUUUUUUGGUAGUUUUGUGUGUGAUCAGUGUAUAUAAGUUUUUUACUUUGUAGAAACUACUAUUAGUAUACAAAUACUUUUGCAACUGUGAAAAAUUGUCUCAAAAUUCAUUGAUCUUAUUGCUAAGGAGAUAUUCAGAGAUUUUUCUUUCUAGCUAACACACACACACAAAAAGCAAACAAAAGCUUAAGUUUUCUGUGUCCGCAUUUCUCUGUAAAGUCAUGGGACUCUCUAGGUUUGUCUAGGGCAGAAUAUGGUCCUCUUUUUGCAGAUAUGGUGUAAGCUGCAAUUAUGAGCUGUAUGACUAUGAGACGUUGCUAUAAACCAGAUCAAUGAGGAAGUGGAACUUAGGAUUUCAUAUGCUGUCUGAUGCCUCUGUGUUGGCAUGGUUCAUGCUGUUGUGGUAUGGUAUACUGGAAGGUGGUGUAGCUAACCUACUUUCUUCUCCACUAUAGAAUGUUAGUACAGUGUGAGAUUGCCUUUGAGCAAAUAGACGUUGCUUACUGCUGGAAGUGUCAUUUAGUUUGGCUUUCAUAUUGUUCAUUUUUGGACUAGUAGAAAGGAUUUCAUGCCACUGGUAUAGGAUGGCAUUUGGAAUGCUGUUUUCUGCUGAUGGAGAUAAUGUAAGGAUUUUGUAAUUAAUGUUUCUGGAAUCCCUAGCAACUGUUUUUUAUACUCCCAUAGAGAAAAAGAUGGAUGUGUUUUAUUCUUCAUCCUUCAAGGGGAAGAAAUGGAGGCUCACAUACCAGUGAAGGAAAAAAGUUAUUCAGGGAGGUGAGAAAAUGGUUCCUUACAAGGCACUGAAAAUGUGUCUUGCAAGGUUAUAGUUCCUAGACAAAUGAAUAUUUACAAAAUGACAUUUUCACUUUUCUAAUUCUUCUGUACAGGUAUUUCAUACUUUGAAUAAGCUCCAUUAAAGCUGAUGAAAAAGAUGUUGAAAUUUAUUUAUAUAUAUACAUAUAUAUAAAUAUAUAAAGUUAGAGGCAGUUUUCAGAAUUCUUUCUUUUCUACACAACUUUUAUACUAGUCAGCUAUAGAAAAUAAUUUCAUGAGGGUAGGUCGAGGAGGAAAAGAAGGUCUUUCCUCAUUUUUAUUUCUGCUGUUGUUGUAGUGGAUCAUUUAAGUAGGCAACUUUUUUUUUUUCCCUCCCUUAAGAAAGUUAAUCAAGCUUCUGCCAUUUGCUGAAUUCAGAUAACCCUCUGUUCCAUUGUAAUCACCUCUCUGGCAAUGGGAAAAUGAUAUCAAAAACAAUUUAUAUUUUCAAUUGAAGUCAGAUUCUGAUUCAGUAGAAUGUUACAAGGAAUGUGACUUAGGUUUUUGACAGAGGACAGGAGUGGCAACGUGUCCCAGAGAUGAAAUGGUAACCAGGUUUCUCACAGCCUGCUCAGAGAUAAUCCCCACUUCCAUACCAUUUCUUCAGAUUCCCAUUUUCCAGUUUAGACGUGGUUGCUGGAUAAGCUGGAAGGCUUUGGGGGGGGGGGGGGGGGGGGGGAAGAAACCCUAAGAUUGAUUUCCUUUAUUCCCCUCUAGAAUAAAACAGACACUUAAACUACUCCUGGAGGGAAAUCCUGAAUUAGUUUAAUCUAGGCCUUGAAAAAAAAAAAAAAUCUCACUAAGUCUUGAGUCUAGUGUGAACAAAUCCCAAAAAGAGUCCCAGUGAGUAAUUUCAUUUUGGGUAGCAUAAGGCGGUAUUGCUCCACCUUGACAAACAGCAAUUUCUGGCUUUUAUCUCUGUGUACAUGCUGCUUUAAACCAGGAGGUGGAUUACUUUUUUUUUUUUUUUUUAAUUAUUAUUAAAAGAUAUUUGACCUCUCUGAAGUCACUACUUGGGACAGUUUAAAUUAAUACAGAAACACGCAUGUGCUAGACUUGCUCAAUAGUUUCUUUGUUCUGAAAAUAACUGUAAAAUGUCUAAUAAUUGACUAAAGUUAUAUGAGGCACUGCCUUACAGGGUAAGGAUAAUGGACAUAUGUACAUGAACCAGGGAGAUAUUUUUUCUGUCUACCUUCCCCUUUGAUCACAGGUGUGUUCUGUCAUUCCACGUCAGUAACCAAAAGAUUAGCUCCUAAAAUGAAAAAUAGCUUGAAAGUUGAUAUAAAAGGUCUAGUGUCCAGACCAAAAUUAAAGGAGAAGGAAGACAAGUACUUGUAAAUUACACUGGCUUCAUAUUGUGACACUGGCAGCACAAUUUUCUACAAAGGAUAUAAUCUUUCCUUAUACUGGCCAAUGAGGUACACAACUCUUGCCAGAAGCAGGAAAAGUCACUGUGAAGAAUGUGUCAAGUUAUAGUCUGCCAAAUUAAACAUCAGCAAAAAGAAAAAUAUCUGCAAUCUUGAUAUAUUCAGUAUGGUGACAGCUAGGUCACCUCUGUAGGCAAAAAAAUCUAGAUUCAUGAAUAUUACUCAUUCUUUCUUCAAGAAGAGUUGAGACACUGUGCUGUCUCACCCUGGAACCACUGACCUCUGUUCUGCUAGCAGUUUCGGGGAACAAUGGUCUCAUAGAUAUUGUAUAGGUUUGCUUCCCUUCUCUUCCUGAAAGAACAGAAGAUGUUGCCACCAGCUACGCUAGAGCUUUCCUUUCUGCACCACUCCCAUCCACUGCAAGUACUGGAAUUGAGCUUCUCACUUUUGGUGGAAUAAAUGUAAGAUGAGACAGUAAGAUCCCAAAUUCCAGUCAUGCAUUUAUCGUAGUUUUUUUUCUUCUUUUUUAUACAGCUGCUUAUGAAAUGGCUAUUGUAACAUUUAUUCCUCUUAGACAAAAGCUGUAAAAGUGGUGAAUGGGUUGGCUGACUGACCUUGGGAAGGUAUAUCAUAGAGUGGUUUGGGUUGGAAGGGACUUUUAAGAUCACCUAGUUCCAGCCCCCUGCUAUAGGCAGGGACACCUCCCUCUAUACCAGGUUGCUCAAAGCCCUGUUUCACCACCCUCACAAUAAAGAAUUUCUUCCUAAUAUCUAGUGUAAAUCUAUCCUCUUCCAGUUUAAAGCCAUUUCCCUUCAUCCUGUUGCUACAAAACCUUACAAAAAGUCUCUCCCUAGCUUUCCUGUAGGCCCCCUUCAGGUACUGAAAGUGUGCUCUAAGUCCCCCCUAGAGCCUCCUCUAGGCUGAAGAGCCUGAACUCUUGCAGCUUGUCCUCAUAGGGGAGGUGCUCCAGCCAUCUGAUCAUCUUUGUGGCCUUUCUUUGGACCAGCUACAACAGCUCACCCCAGAACUGGUUGCAGUACUCCAGGUGGGGUCUCAUGAGAAGAGAGUAGAGGGGAAGAAUUACCUCCCUCAACUUGCUGGUCUGGAUUAAAAGCACAUGUUGUAGGCUCAUGUUGAGGCUUUCAACCAAUAGCCCUAAAUACCUCUCCUCAGGGCUGCCUGCAAGCCAGUCUCUGUCUGGCCUGUAUCUAUGCUUGGGAUUGCCUCAACCCAGGUGCAGGAUCUUGCAGUUGACCUUGGUGAACUUCAUGAGGUUGGCAUAGGCCCAUCUCUCAAGCCUUUCCAAGUUACUCUGGGUAGUAUCCCCUCCCUCUGGCAUGCCAACUGCACCACUCAGUUUGGUGUCAUCUGCAAACUUGCUGAGGGUGCACUUGAUCCUGCUGUCCAUGUUGCCUACAAAGAUAUCAAAUAGCACUGGUCCUAGCACUAACUCCUGAGGAAUCCCAUUCAUCACCAGUCUGCACUUGGACAAUGAGCCACUGACUGCAACUCUCUGAGUGUGACCAUCCAGCCAAUUCCUUAUCCCACUGAGUGGUCCGUCCAUUAAAUCCAUUUCUUUUCCAAUUUGGCAUCCAGGAUGUUGUGUGAAACAGUGUCAAACACUUUGCACAAGUCCAGGUAGAUGAUAUCAGUUGCUCUUCCUUUGCACACCGAUGCUGUAACUCCAUCGUAAAUCAUGCUGAUUUUGUCAUGCGUGACUUGCCCUUGGAGAAGCCAUGUUGGUUACUACUGAUCAGUAUUGUUUUAAAGAACCUGUUGAAGAGUUGUAGCUGAUGGCAGGAAUGUGUCUUAUGCACAGAGAAAUAAAUAUGACAGUAUUUGUAUCAAAUGCACAGCAGCAGUAGGUAUAGAGAAUACCAAAUGAACACUUCCUAAUGUGCCUUCUGAUAUUCUUCACUACUAAUGCUCACUGCUGCAGCUCUUUUAGUUGAGACUGUUUUGCAGUGACUUGUGUUGCAAAACCAGUGAUAUGCAAUAUGCAAGCAUUGCUGGAAAUCCAAAGUGAACUUGUAGGGGUUGCUUGAAGAUCUAAAAUGUAAUGCUUGAGACUGAUGUUAAAUUAAGUUUGAAAUUAUUUCUAGAUGCUAUUGUUUAUGCUUUUCAAAGUGGAUUUUGUUAGGUAGAGUGACUUCUAAACAAACGUGAAAUGAUGGAUAAAUUAAAGCAGUUCCAAUAUGUGAAAAGAUGACAAAGCUCUUUCCUGUUUGGUUGUAUUUUUUGGGUCAGCAUCGGUGCCUAAGUUACAGCGUGCACUGUAAAUCUCAAAGCAAACACUGGGAUCAGUGUGAUUUACUUAGUUGCAUACUGUCAAACUCUCCUACCUUUUUAUACAGUACAGGCUUUGCAUAUUCAGAGAAACCAGCUAGCUGCAAUUCACUGUUUGCAGAAAGCAACGGUAAAUCAACUUUUCAGCAGAACUAGUCCAUAAAUCAAUGAACAGUAUAUUCCUUUGAGACGCUCAAACCUGCACAGGAAAGCCACUCUAAAACCAGAUUAACAGGCAUUCUGAUUUAUGGUUGAAUCAAACAGCCAAAGUCUAUUUUCAGAGAUCUGAAAUACAAGACUUAUGUAACUUAUCAAGGUGACAAUCUCACGGCUUUCCACUGCUGCUGUUUAUUCAUUUCUUGUAGAUAUGUGGGAACAGAAAUAUACACUGCUAUGUAUAUAUGUACAUACGUUCUAGUCUUGUAGGGGGUUAAUGCCAUUUGCCUGUGAUAUGCAACACUAUACCUGGUACUGUAGAGCUAUGCAUGGUUGCUCUUUUCCUUCCCUUCAUCCUUUCACUGUUUAUAUUCUUGUUAUCUACUGUAGUCAGUCUUUGAACAUCAAGUCAGGGACCCUUGAAAAGGAGCAGGUGGUGCAGGCUUUCAGAGGGACUAAGGAACCAGUACCACUGAGUCAGCGAACUUUAUUUCCCCUUGUUGUUGUGGCUGGAAGUCCAAGGUAUAUUGUUAUUGCUGCGUGACCUGGCUGUCACAACAGGCUAUUUCACCAUCCCAUGCUUCCUGCUAAUCAGACACUGGAGAGCUGCACCGGGACUGAUAACAAUGAGAACAGCAUAGAGGCAAAUUAAGAAAAUACUUUGAAUAGACCGCAUGAAUGAAAACAUGCUGUGUAUAAUUGGCUGCCCCUAAUUAAAAGUGUGGCGGUGUUUGUAGAGUUUCAGCUGGGAUAAAAAUACUUUUACAACAAUAAUGUGAUCUGAAUGAAAUUUAAAAAAUGCUCUCCCCUUAGCUGGACAGCAGUGCAAAAUUCCUUUACAUUCCAGGCUCCAACACACAGAAAACAUAAUUUUGGAUUCAGAAUGCCACGAGCUAGAUAUUCCUAAUUCCUACGCUAAACGUGUCUACUUCCAAUUAUUUCACCACUUAGUUUCUCUCUUUAAAACAACCAAAUAUGAGCAUUGGAGGCUGAGUGAGGAGUGUGGUCUGUGUGAGUAUCUACCACGCAGCAGGUUACUGGGCUACCUUCACCCUCUGAUGGAGGUUGUGUGUAGUGGUAGCGCACUGCAGCACUCUGGUCUUAACUAUCUGGUCUGCAGCUGCUUUCCUGGUAGCAUCUUUCAAGACGGGAGCACCAAGAGGUGAUGCUUUUUCUAUCUUGCAGAGCAGCAGGAACUAGUUAGGUACAACUGGAAACAUGCCUGAUUUAGAUUUUCAUAAUUACUUAUUUUUAAGAGACAAAAGCUAAAGUUUGCUGAUGGUACAGGAAAUUAUCAAUAAUUAAUGCAAAGUUUGAAAUGGAAGGACAGUACAAUGGUUUGUUCUUGAUGCCAGUAAUUCAGCUGUCUGAAUUAUGCAUAAAGCAAACAACAUAAGGAAUUGCUAAAAGCAGCGUAUCUCCAAAAUUUAAAAUACCUUUAGCCAAGUUUGCCAAGAUAAGAUUAGCUGUGCAUUUCACUGCAAGCAGACUGCAUCUUCUUCAGUUCAAGAAAGUUGUUGUUGACCUUUAAAUUUAAAAACUUAUUUUUUUUCCCCUUCCAAGCAAGAAAAUCAAAAGGCUGCAAAACUUUUCAAAGCACAUAAAAAUGACUUGUCCUUCUCCGCAUAUUUGUAGCCAAAAUUAGGUGUAUUUUUUUCAUCUGUUUUAGUAUUUUUUUCUACCGUUGAGCAAAAGUCCUUAUUUCUGUUUGACCUUAGGCUAGUGUGUAGCUCUGCUUUAGUAGUUAGAAAUUCUGACCUGAGAAUUUGCCACCUUAACAUCCACUUCAGUAGCCCUGAGCUGGAGGAUGAGUUUCUUUGUCUAGACUUACAGCCUCUAUCUCCCAGGGGCUGCCUUUAGAGGUAACCUCCGUACCUGGCUCUUUUCUUGAUCUUUAGAAACCUAAAAUUAUCUCAUUUUUCUGUUCUAUUGUCAUUUUUCAUUUCCCCAGAUGUUUGUUUAUCUCUGUUUUUAGCUGCCAAGGUUUCAUUUUUCCUCAGGGAGGGAAGAGGAAAGCUUCUUGGGGCUGCGUGUUUAUAGAUAUAGCCAUUAUUAUUAUUAUUAUUAUUUUUGUUGGAAGGGUGAAAGCUAGUAAAUCCACCUAAAGUAUUUCACUGUAAAAGAUGCAGUACAGACUAUCUCCUUUCAUCAGAGCCAGACCUUGUAAGGAGGAGGGAAGAUGUGCCAUGUCCGGGUAAAACACUUCUAAUCAGUGAGCUGAAUCUUUUAUUGGCAUUUUGAACACAAAUGUUAUUUAACUUAGAGCUACCUAAGUCAAGGUGAGGUAUAUGAAAGAUUGUAUGUAAUAUCCUUUGCUGUCACUUUUCAUUUUAGAGGGGAUGUCCUCCUGAAACACUUAUCUUGAUACUGGAUAUGCAGUUUAAUCCUUAUUAUUGCCUUACAAAAAGUCUCCCUCAGUUCAGCUGGAUGGUGUGCUAAAUGGAGGGUUAUGUUACUGGAGUAGAGUCUGGACUAAAGACUUUUUUUUUUUUUUUCCCCCCUGCUUUCUCCAUUAGAAAGUGCCUAUCGGUGCUCUGCUGGGAGGCAGCACAACUGGCAUAUCCACAGAGCUUUCCUGAUCUGCCUUUUCUGAUGCUUCAGUAAAACAUGAAGUCUGCUGCUCAGCCUGUUUCUUGUGGGAGAAUAGUGAUCAUAGAAUCAUAAAAUGGCUUAGGCUGGAGGGGACCUUAAGGCUCACCCAGUUCCAAACACUAGAUCAGGCUGUCGAGGAUCCCAUCCAACCUGGCCUUCUGGUCGCCUGGCCUAGUGAUGUGGCACAAAGCUGUUUUCCUAGCUGAAGGCAAGUGUGUGGAAAGGGGUGGGGAAGUUCUGAAGCUAGGCAGAGUUGAAAAAAGAAAAUAAAAGCUGAGUAUCACUUCCAGGGACUGAUGAAUCCUUCAGAGAGUAUAAGUGCAUUGUGAAAAUUAUGAGUGUGUUUUGUAAAUUUCUUCCUCUGUCAUGCGCGCAUCUUAUUAGAAGCAUCCUUUCUUGUUUUCACAUUCAUCUUUACAAUUGCUUUUCUCUGUAGUUUUUAUUCCUCUCCCAUGUGCCUUAUUACUCUCAACAGCUUGCCAAUCUUUUCUCUUUUAAUUUGGAUCUUGUAAAGUAGUGGGAUAUGGUCUCCCCUGAGCCUCCUUCUCUCCAGACUGAACACUCCCAGUUCCCUCAGCUGCUCCCCAUAACACUUGUGCUCCAUACCCUUCACACCUUUGUUGCCCUUCUUUGGACAUGCUCCAGACCCUCAAUGUCUUUCUUGUCGUGAGGGACCCAUUUGAUAGAAGCCAAGCGUAAGUGGGGAAAUGUAUGACAACGGAGGGUGCUAAUUAAGCUGUGGAGCAUUUUUCCUUAUUUAAGUGUAUCCAAUAUCAAUCUAACAUCUAAAAUUGCACUCAUUCUCACGCUCUAGUGUAAAUCCUAUGCCUUGCAUGCAAAAUGUAUAUUGGUGGAUGAAAUGGCUGCAGUGCAACAGCCAUAUUAUCCUGCCUGAUGGAAUACACACAUACAUGUGUCAGAACCACUAUUGGUGCAGAUGUGUUUUAGAAGAAAUAAAUUUACCAAAGCACGUGUGCUUUUCAAACUGUUGAAUUGGGUAGUUGUCUAACUGCACUAGGAAGCUCACUGAAUAGCUUGUAAUAGCCUCUGAAAACCUAGGCUAAACUUGGAUGCUGGCAAGUGUGCUUAGAUUAUUUACAGUGCUCAGUGUUUAACUUCAACUGAUAGAAAAGGGAAGGAAGCAGUUUGAAUAAAUGUGACACUCCCUUAUUACUGUAACCUGGAAAUUAAUUUAUAGCUCCCUAAAUUCUUUCGUAGUCACCACUGUUGAAUACCAAAUCUUCAGAAAGACAGGCUAGGAAAGUUGUCAUUGUUCUUAAGGAGCCUAAGUUAUACAAGAUCCAGUUAAAAUCUUAGCAGGAUUUCCAAGAAGCUUUGGUACCAACUUCCCUCUGGAGUACAGUGGGAUUUGGAUGAGUUUUAGUAGAGUUUAUUCUUUUACUGUUUGAUUCUGCUGUAUUAGCAAGUGGAGAGCUUCGUAGCAGAGCCUUAUAGUU